AAAACGACUCUCGGCAACGGAUAUCUCGGCUCACGCAUCGAUGAAGAACGUAGCAAAAUGCGAUACUUGGUGUGAAUUGCAGAAUCCCGUGAACCAUCGAGUUUUUGAACGCAAGUUGCGCCCAACGCCAUCUGGUUGAGGGCACGUCUGCCUGGGCGUCACGU
rnacentral:rRNA from 1 species